UCCUGUCAAAUGAGACAGUCAACAUACGGAGUCAUCUCCUGGGGUUCCUGCUCUUCUUCCUACUGGGGGUUAAGGACAUGUCUACGGUACUGCCAGCUUCAGGAGCCAACAAAGAAGACUACGUCAUCUCCUGCAUAGGACGUUCCUGCUUUCAGUUGUUCCUGCCUCUUGAUGGUGAUGUAUUAGAUAGCUGGAGCUGAGUUCCUCUUUUACAUCGGUCAGCUGAACUACCUGGUUGCCAGCCAGCAGGUGUGACAUGUCCAGACUUAAUGUACUUCAGGCACCACCAGCCCUGCCUCAUAGACUGGCCCAGCCAACAACCGAGCUGCCACAGACUCUACUGUAGCCACUCAAUGCAAACCAGACUACAACUGAACCUUUAACGUAACGUAACAAAAUGUGGAAAA